UUCCCAAUGGCAUAGUCGACAUCAGAAACUCGUACACUGUUCCUCACAGCGAGAACUCCGAGCAGGUCCUCCCAUCGGCCUUAUGUGUUUGUUUGAAUUUGUUUUGUGAUUAGAUGGAAUUGGAUGUUAGGUUAGGUUUUUCAAUUUGGAUUUAUCUUAGAUUGAUUUCAAUUUGAUUUUGUUUGUUUCGGUUUUUGGUUUUGGUUGCUGAGAAGAUGCAAUUUGUGAGUUCUCUUUAGUGGACUAGGUUUUGUGUCCAUGUAAGUUCCCUUUGUUCUGCUUUUCUAAUCUUGAGUCUCACUCUUACAUGUAGCUGAGAAUGCCGCAAACUCACAAGAAGGAAUAUUUGAAGAAAAGUAUUGAUAAGGGGCUUCUAGCACUACCUAUUUUGGCCUAACCUAAUGUGUCUACAACCCAUACAUAGCUACAGCAUGUUCUCGUCCAUUAAGAGCAACAGAGGCUUAAAACCAGUUUUUUGGUUGGUUAGCCUGAUUUAUGCCAAAAAAUAUGUGACCAAGGCUUAUCAGAUGUCUUAGGUUCUGUACGGGCCAAUGCCAGUGGCCUAAAUGCUGAAACAUGUUUUCAUUGCCUUGCUUUUAUUACCAUAGAGUUCAGAAGCAUUCUUUCCAUCAAAGUAUGAAUAUUGACAAAGCUCUGGAUUCUUCAAAGCAUGAAAACUCCUGCCAACAUGGAAGUCUCUCAUGAAGUCUGCCUUCUUGGGCGAGCAAACCAAUUCCCAGGUUUCUUUAUCUGUUGCCUAUAAUGUUCUUUGUUAUGGCUUAUCUAGAAUAUAGUUGAGUAUUAUACAUACUUGGCAUAUACUGGGGGAGAAAUAACAAAGCCUGUGAAGAAGACAUUGCUAGAUGAUCACGUUGAGAAUUAGACCAGUCUUCACGUUCUCCAUGCACUUUAAUGCUGAUUUGAGGCGAGUACGUCGCAGCUAUGUCAAUUCUUGUGGCCUGAGCAUAAAAUCAUGUUACUAGAAGAAAGUGUUUUCUCAUUUUCUUUGGGAAGACGCCUGAGGUAUAUAGCCCAGUAUAUCUAAAUCCAAGUGUGGGGUAAUUUUUAGAUAUUUUUGGUCAUGCACGGUUGGUGAUACAGCCUAGUUUUUGGUCAUGCACGUUCAAGGCCAAUACUUGUGGUUUUUUUUUUUAUCAUAUCAAAUAUUGAUCAUUUUGCUAGACAUGUAGUAGUAUGCUGUGGAACAUGAUAGCAAAAUUCAUCAUAUGCAAUUGAGGACCAUUAUUAAAUUAAUAGGUUCUAUUGUGAUUGAAAGUAAUCAAGGUUUGUUGAGCAAUCCACUCAGGGCCAAUACCUUUGGCUUUUUCCUAUACAGGUCUAUGAGAGAUCUGUCCAUAAAGAAUACUUCUUUGGUGCCUAUAUUCGAGAAACUUGAACAAGAAUUACUUAUCUGCCAGGUUUCACUACAUCAUCUGUGAAUACUAGGUACUAUUCUUUGAAUCUAUCUCAUUGUCCGUCAGAUUGAGUUAGAUUAUGACAUUCAAGCUUCAUGGUUGUAGUGUAUUAAUCCAUGAUUUCUGAUCUAGAGAGCAACUAGAGUUUUUGGUUCUGAUUCUAUUCCACAAUCAAAUAUCAAUCAUCAAUUGAAAUUUGUUGCUUUAUACACAAAGAGAGUAGCUCAGUGAUGACCCCAUAUUUUUAAUUUAUCAAGACAGAACUCUUUUGUAGGCUCAUAUGUGACUUUUUCGAUCUUCUUAUAGGGACUUGAGCUUUAACAAGUUGCCUAGUGAAUGAAAAUCUUGUUGCUCUUGGUUACAUGAAGUCUAUUCAGUAAAUAAAGGGAGCAUGAGUUUAUUUGUGUAAAAGAAUUGUUGUUUAUAUAUUUCUCAAUUAGCUAUAUUGCAUGUUUGAUUGACUGCAUGUUUUAUGGGUGCAGCUUUUAAUCAACAAUUAACUACUUUAAUUUUGUAUAUUUUUUUUCUAUAAAUUCCUAUUCAGGUAUUUAUAUUGUUGGACUUCAACUAAUUUCCAAGUUAAUAGUACGGUGUCUGAAGCUUGGUAAGUGUAUUUUACUAGGAGAAGGGAUUUGAAGAUGCUGAAUCAGUUGAAGGUAAUGGUGGUUCAGAAGUUGGAGCUGUAUGAGUCUGUUGGAGUGGCUGAAGAUUUUGUGGAAUGGAUGUUGACUGGGAUUUGACUAGUAAUUGGGGUUUGGAAGCUUUUUCUGCAAUCUGUAUUUUGACAAUAAGCAGCAGGGAGCUCGGUAAUUGGUGUUUCUGCAAAUGAACCGUUCAAAUGCUGCCAUCUCAAUCGUUGAAGGCUACUUGAAGAAGGCAGAGUGUUGAUGAUAAAGUUCAGAGAAGAAGACAUAAGACGUAUCAUUAUGCUCUGUCUCAACUAGUUGAAUGAGAGCUAGACUUAUUUCUAUUGUGAACUGUGGUCAUUGGACGUUGGCUGUUGUGAAUCUGGAUGAAGAAACCAUUCACUUCAUGGAUUCGUUAAAGAGGCUACUUCAGGCUAGAUCGAUUUUACUUUGUUGAAUAUUUGGAACAAUUGAUGUAGUUUGGUGGCUGCUUGAAGUAGUAGUACAGUUUUUGCAGUGUUUAUCAAUGGAUAUGUUGUUACUGGUUUCCAGGUUUUUGAUGAAUAUAUGGUGCAAAGCGAUUUCUACUUUCUA